rnacentral:rRNA from 1 species
CAGCCGUAAACUAUGCUCGCUAGGUGUCAGGCAUGGCGCGACCGUGUCUGGUGCCGCAGGGAAGCCGUGAAGCGAGCCACCUGAGAAGUACGGCCGCAAGGCUGAAACUUAAGGAAUUGGCGGGGGAGCACCACAACGGGUGGAGCCUGCGGUUUAAUUGGACUCAACGCCGGGAAGCUCACCGGAUAAGACAGCGGAAUGAUUGCCGGGCUGAAGACUCUGCAUGACUAGCUGAGAGGAGGUGCAUGGCGUAGACGUGU